CUCAGUUCCAAGAGGAUGCCCAAAAUGAAGAAGGGCCCGAUAGUGACAAAGGUUCUCAUUACUGCCCUUUGCUGGAUGCAGCCCAAAGAACACUGUGUCUCUGCAUCCUCAAAUUUUCCUCAUACCCUACCUUAAAAUGAUACAAUAAUGUAGGGUUGGGUAGAUGUUUCCCUAAUGUGCAUGUUUUUUCCAUACACUUCAUUCAUAUAUCAUGGAACCAGCUCUGGUGACUGCUCGUUCUGUCAGUGAAGUAGAAAAGGGCCUAAAUGCAAAAAAAUACUUUAUCACAUGGAAGUACAAAGGAUAAGUUACAUGCUUGUGUUCAUGCACCUUUCAGAAGCUGCUUAAAUGGAGAUGAAUCAGUCAGGACAAUUGAAGAAGGGUAGCCAAAGAAUGAGAAAGCAGGUGGUUAGACCUCUAUUAACAUCCCAAGUUGCAUUGUUCCAUUUGAAGUAACAGUCAGACCAGAUUCAAAAGGAAAGAGCAAAGAACAGGUGGAUGAGGGAAGUUUGGUUAAUUAAAUCUCAUUCUGGAUAUGAAAAGCCUGUUAUAUUUUAUCAUUGCUUGCCUUGACAAAAGUGUACCAGACAAAGUUUAUAACAUAAAAGCAGUAAAUGCUGGACAUACUCAGCGAGUUAGGCCGCAUCUGAUUGAAGAGUUGGAAAUGUUAAUGUUUCAGGUCAAAGGUCCUUUGUCAGUCAUGUUGCUGCAGCAAGAAAUGUUAUCUCGGUUUCUCUUUGCACAAAUGCAGCCUGGCCUAUGUUUUCUGUUUUUAUUUUUAGAUUUCCAGCAACAGCAGUUCUCUGAAUUUUCAUUUGCCAGCCUUUAUGACUGGCACAUGGUUUCUGUAAACCAUCAAGAGGAGAACUCACAUUUACAUUGCAUGUUUUCAUUACCCCUAUAAAUGAUCUGGGACUUAAAAAUGGCAUGAACUAUUUUCAAGCACUGUGAUUGUCAUGUAGGAAAAUGAAGAAAAAAAUCUGGGCACCCAUAAUUAACCAUGGACCAUCAGCUGUCCUUUAUCACACUUUGUAAGCUCCCUCACUUUAUCAUUUCACUCACAGCAGGGGAUCAACAUUAGUUUAACGAGAGGUUCAGAAGUUAAUAUACAGGAUCAGCAAGAAGUGAGGGAACCAGAUGAUAUGCUAGUCUUUAUUGCAAGAGGAUUUCAGUACAAGAGAAGCAAUAUCCUGUUGUAAUCAUACAGGGCCCUGAUGGCAAGGCAACUGGAGUAUUGAGUACAGAAAGAAAAUCUUUCAUGUCAGAAUGAAAACAGACCUCUGCAAGAGAUCAUACAAGAUGGGGACCAGUGUGGGAGGUCACGAAGAUACCUAUGACAACACUGGAGGAGUUACAAGCUUCAAUGCCUAAAGUAAAGAGAGAAUGUACAUACAACAGUUGCCUGGGUGCUUCACCAGUUGCAGCUUUCUGGGAGAGUGGCAAAGAGAAAGGCAUUGUUGAAAAAAACUCACAUGAAAGUUUACCAGAAGGCAUAUGGGAGACUCUAAAGUCAGCUGGCUGGAAGAAGGUUUUAUGGCCUGUAGAAACCAAAAUAGAGCUUUUUGGCCAUCAGACUAAACAUUAUGUUUGAGGUAAGCCAAACACCGCACAUCAUCAAAAACACACCAUCCCUACUGUGAAGCAUGGUGGUGACUGCAUCACGCUGUGGGAUGCUUCAUUGCAGCAGGUCCUAGAAGACUUGUGAAGGUAGAGAGUCAAAUGAAUGCAACAAAAUACAGCAAAUUCCUGGAGGAAAACCUGAUGCAGUCUGCAAGAGAAAUGCAGCUUGGGAGAUUUGCAUUCUAGCAAGACAAUGGCCCCAAGUAUAAAGCCAAAGCUACACAGGAUUGGCUUAAAAACAACAAAGUUAAUGUCCUGGAGUGGCCAAGUCAGAGUCCAGACCUCAAUCCAAUUGAGAAUUGGUGGCUGGACUUGAAAAGGGCUGCUCUCUCACGAUCCCCAUGCAAUCUGGCAAAGCUUGAGCAGUUUUGUAAAGAAGAAUAGACUCAAGGAUGUAAUUGCUGCCAAAGGUGCAUCUACUAAAUACUGUCUUGAAGAGGUUAUUCCAGCAUACAAGAAUAAAGCUGCAAUUAAAGUGAUCAAGUGAGCAUACCAUAUGGAAUAACUUACUACAGUUAAAAGAAAGAAGCAGAGGGAAGAAAUGUCCUCGACAUCUAACAGGAUCGGACGUGAGGCAAGUGACUCGAUGUUGACUUCACUCUCCCACAAAGAUUUGUCGUUGUGUGAGGUAAGAUGGCUGGAGGGUGGAAGUGUGGGCCACAGACGAUGAAAAGGAAAGGGUUGAGGGCAAGUGAGUUGUGCUGAUCAUUCGAAGGUGAUGGGUAGGGGUGGGGCUUGAGGAGGAUAGAGGGGAUUUACAGGACUUGUAAGUCCCAA